GUCUUUUGUAACCUAAGACAGAAUGGAUGCAUUCCAUCACUUUUCCAUGUUUUUUUCAUUAGAAGCAAUCACCCAGGUCUAGCCCACACUGGAGGGGAACAUUAUACAAAGGUGUGAAUGCUAGGGGCGGUUUUAGAAGGCUGCCCACCAUACUGCCAAACUGUUUUCCAAAUGGCUGUAUCAUUUUACACUCCCACCAGCAAUGGAUAAGGUUUCUAUUUUCUUCACAGCCUUGCCAAUGCUCUUUAUUGUGUCUUUUUCAUAGUAACCAUUCUAGCAGGUGUGAAGUCGAAUCUCAUUAUGGUUUUAAUUCACACUUCUCUAAUGACUGAUGAUAAUGAGUGUCUUUUUAUUGUUCUGUUGUCCAUUCAUAUAAUUUCCUUGGUGAAAUGUUAAUUCACAUCUUUUGUGCAUUUUUAAAAUUUUAUUUAUUACCUUAGAAAAGCUAAAGACUACUUUUGUGCAUUUUAAAAUUGGAUUAUUUGUCUUAUUAUUGAGUUGUAGGAUAUUUUCAUUUAUGAAUCAUGUUUUCAGUGUUAUAGCUAAGAAGUCUUUGCCUAUCUCAAGGUCAUGAACAUAUUAUGUGUCAGCUACUAUGUUACGCCUUUAUAUAUAUUAUUUUACUUGGUUUCAUUACUAUAACAGCCCUAUUAGAUAUAGAUAUUAUCAUUAUUGCAACACAAAUGAGAAAAUUCACAGAAGUCCAAUAACUUGCUGAGGUCACACAGCUAGUUAGUACAACUUGAACCUCGGUUCUGUCUUACUCCAAAGCCCAUGUUCUUUUAUCAGAAACUU